AGACGUAAGAGUGCGGUACAAACCACUGAAAAUUUUCGGUACCAUGUUUUCUUCUUCUUGUUGGGCAGAAGUUUAACGAGGGGGCUAGUUAUUACCAUUUUGCGGUUGUUUUUUACGCAUUGGUUUACCCCUCCUGACAAAAUUUUGACAGUUUCGCCCGUUUCGCCUGUUUUGCUCCUCCGACUCCGUCACUACCGCCGCGGCAAAAGUUUGUUGUUGUUGUGCUCCCAUUUUAACUUUUCAGCAGAAUCGAUUGUUGGAGUUUUUUGUAUUAUUGUUCUUGAUUUCGUAAUGCUAGCGUAUAAAAGCGCCAGGUUAAGCGGUUCUGGAGUUGCAAUUUCUCGCGUAUUCACAGCAGACGUCGCAGCAAGAGUAUGUUCCAGCCGUAACCGUGCCGUAUGCCACAUCAUCUGCACAUCCCUGCCGUAGAUUCGAUCAAAUCCCUGAUCGUUGGUGCCCUCCCGGGUAACCGCAACACCUGUAGCGAACUGGCAUUAUUGAUGGGGUGUAAGCCACGCCACAGCAAGAACAUUCUGCUGAUGAUUCACCAUAAAAAAAUAAUCUACAAAAUAGCCAGGGAAGGCAAAUUUUACGAGACCCGUGAGGAUGUGGUCGCUGUGAAGCCUGGAGAGGCACUUUGGAAAUAUCGACGGGAACUUCGAAAAGGCCGACGUUGGGGUGGAGGAAACGAGGGAGAACACGUUAAAAAACUGAUAAAUCACAGCCAUUCAUGACAACCAUGGCUGAUAUUCAUCACGCUACGAGACCAAAUCGUACUUAGCAAGCUGAAACUAUUGCGCCGUCAUUAGCUUGCACAAUCGUCACGUCUCCAACGGGGUUGAAUUUUAUCGAAAUAUGUAUAUUAUUGAACAUUUGAUACAUAAAAUUGCGAGGGACGGGGCA